rnacentral:misc_RNA from 1 species
ACAGUAAAGGUGUGUGACUUUGGGUUGUCUAGAUUUAAAGCAAACACAUUUAUAUCAUCAAAAUCAGUAGCUGGAACACCCGAGUGGAUGGCUCCGGAAUUCCUUCGUGGAGAGCCCUCAAAUGAGAAAUCUGAUGUCUACAGUUUUGGAGUCAUCCUAUGGGAGUUGGUCACCAUGCAACAGCCGUGGAAUGGACUUAGUCCUGCACAGGUUGUUGGAGCUGUAGCUUUCCAAAAUAGAAG